rnacentral:lncRNA from 1 species
GUGGGAUCCGAAGGUGGACACUGAGACAACGCUUCAGACACCUCAGAGAGGAGCAAAGUACCUGCAGGCCUCCUUUGUGCUGCCUCCUCUCUGCGGUCGUCCCCUGGCUGCCCCGGCUAGCCCCUCGGAUCUUUGAACUCCUGCCGUGUUGAGGUCAAAAGACUUUGUUGAGCUCAGGUCUGGUGGGGCCUCCAUCCCAGCCUCUGUCCUCAGCCCUCAGAUAAGAGAAUUCUCUUCUGCUGCUGUUUCUUUACACUUUCUCUGCUGUUGUGGGAAACGAUCCUGUAUGAGAGGAAUCAAUGGUAAAUUUCAAGCUGGAUAUGCAGGCUCAGCCCAAUUUGAACUGCAGGG